rnacentral:lncRNA from 1 species
UUUUUUUGGCUAAUGAUCAAUCUAAGUCUUUGACUUUCAAAUUUGAUAAAGAAAAUAUAGUUACUGAUAGGCCAAAAGUUAUGUCAUUUGUGGCACUUCCAAAAAUCUCAUGUGUGUAUACGCUAAACUCUUAAAGUUGUGGAACUUUCUAAGUGUUUCACAAGACUUUUUUUUUUUUUUGGUAAAAAUGUAAAGAUUUUAUUACCAAUUUUCAGAUUUUUGACAGAAAUACAAUGGUAACAAGAAGCAGAAGAAAAGAAAACAAAUCUAAACAGUAACUCGAUCAAGUGUAAACAAAAACAAACACAACAAGUAAUAACUGCAACCCAGGGGCCUCACCCGAUCCGCACUUACAGCUUGCCGCAAAAGGAAGAGCCAUAGUUAUAUCGAGAGUCAGAACCCGGUAAUUUUGGCCUCCCCGAUGAUCCGCUCUUAAAGAUUUAGCUCGACCAAGAACAGCUCGCUGAAGACUUCCCGAGCAUCCGCUAACCCGAACAGACAGCCACACUAGAGGUCCAUCACCCGCAUCAACUUGAGGAGCAUUAUACGAACAGGACAGCCUCCAAGGAUCGCCACACGCCAAAGACCAAUACCAAAAAGACAAAGAGAGCAGGCACCACCUUGAAAGGUGGAGAAGAGACAGCCCAAGAUCAAGCCUCUGAAGCCGACCCGCUCAGUACGCGACACCACCAAGAAAGAUAGACGUGGUUGACAAGACCAACUUCUAUACUCCUCUCGUGCACCCACAACGGAGAACCCGUAGCGGACCUUCUAGGUUGGAACCAAAACGCAUCCCAAAGAAGAACUACUCCUGAUUAUUCCAUAUAUACAACUGCCAACUGAACAGCAAGAAACCGGGCCAGAGAAAGCCGCUGAAUACAGCUCGGACUGAGCUCACAAGACCUGAACAAUGAGAUUAGAGAGCCAGCACAGCCGUAGAUAUCAUGAGACAGAUACGCUCCUGGGAAAUGCUAACCCUCCGUACAGUACCACCAAGGAGUCGCAAAGUUCACUGCCCAACCGAACCCACAACCUCCAAUGCCGUACGCCCUCUGCGAGAACCGAAAGAGGGUAAUAGAUUGCUGUCGAGAUGCUGAGACCGGUAGUAACGGAGACAGCCCAAGAAAAGAACACGAGCUCGACCCACUUAGAAGCUUGUCUACUAAGCUCCGGUGGUGAUGUCCAAAACAGAUUCCAGGAAGCAAAGACUAAAUGAAAGGGGACCAAUGGUGUUAUAUGAGGCUGCCAUAGACGACAACAACGAACCACAACACCACAAGCCUCCACGCGCCACCACCUUUAGACCCAACACACGCCGGCGUCGAAGGCUAAGCGCGCACUCGAGCAAACGAAUAACUCCGAGACAUUCAUGAAUUUGACUUAGAGGAGGCGAUUCACCGAGAAAACAAGACGAAACACCCACCAACAGUCAAUUCCACUCCACGGAAGAUCUAAGUCAUUGUAGAUCUGCGAACCCACAAGCCAGAUCUGAGCCGAAAGCGUAGUCUCCUCCUCCACGCGCUGCAACCUCUUCAAGCGGAACCAAAGUAAAAACGCCCACUCACAAACCCUAAACGCCGACUCCACCAACCGCAAACCCCUUUACCUCCGUGCUGAGCCUCCAACACCAGUAGAACCGAGCCGAAAUCGAGCCUCCCCGCAAGCAAAGCCUUAGCCGGAAUAUUCUCCAAAGACAGAGAACUCACGCAAGACGGAAGCAAUGGUGAAGGCGAUGGUGAAGCAAACCAAAAAAAAAGAGGAAAAGGGAGAAAGACGGUGCCUCCGGUGCCGGAAGCGCUCGCACGCGCCGGACGCCGGAGUUAAAUCGACUUUUGUUUUGUUUGACGGCUGGGAGAGGGUGGGGGUGGUAGAGAGAAAAUUAGGGCUUCCCCCAAACUUAAAUAUUAGGAAGCCAACUAAUUGAUAUCGCAAUGUUGCAUGUUUCACAAGACUUCGAGCAAUCAUAGGUAUUGGAAGCAAAUAAUAUUUGAUUAUGACAAUAAAUAUAUGAAUGAUUAGCAGUCAAAACAAAUCUCAUUUUUGAUUAAGUAGGACAUAUGCUUGCUUAUAUUUAAAGUGAAUUAAACUGAGAGAACAUGGGAGAAACAAAAUAAAUUCAAGAGGAGAUUGUAAAACAUUACUCAGAUGCAAAUGUUGUGACCAAUCAUGCAUCCUCUAGAAGCUAAGCGAUGUGUGCCUUCUUAAAUGCAU